GAGUUUGAUCGUGGCUCAGAUUGAACGCUGGCGGAAUGCUUUACACAUGCAAGUCGAGCGGCAACGCGGGGCAACCUGGCGGCGAGCGGCGAACGGGUGAGUAAUGCAUCGGAACAUGUCCAAGUCGUGGGGGAUAGCCCGGCGAAAGCCGGAUUAAUACCGCAUGUGCCCGAGAGGGGAAAGUGGGGGACCGCAAGGCCUCACGCGAUUGGGUUGGCCGAUGUCCGAUUAGCUAGUUGGCGGGGUAAGAGCCCACCAAGGCGAUGAUCGGUAGCUGGUCUGAGAGGAUGAUCAGCCACACUGGGACUGAGACACGGCCCAGACUCCUACGGGAGGCAGCAGUGGGGAAUAUUGGACAAUGGGGGCAACCCUGAUCCAGCGACGCCGCGUGUGUGAAGAAGGCCUGCGGGUUGUAAAGCACUUUUAGUGGGGAUGAAAAGCCGAAGGCUAAUACCUUUCGGUCUUGACCUAACCCAAAGAAAAAGCACCGGCUAACUCUGUGCCAGCAGCCGCCGU
rnacentral:rRNA from 1 species